CCUAUCCUGACCUUCUGAGGUGUGCUUGGGUUUUCUUGUUGUAAUUACAUGCUUGCCUUGAUUUAUGUUGUUUUUCUCUUUUUCAGUCAUGACUUUUGUUGAAUGCUGGCUCCCCCAAAAUAUUAUCCAACCAACUCAUUGAGAAGACAGAGCUGAAUUUAUUCUUGCCAUGUUACAGGGGUCAUGUGUUCCUAAUGGAGUACCUAAUGAGAGUCCCUGGAUCAUCUUUUGGAGGAGACUUGACCAACCCACACUGAUGUGAGCAAUAAAUAAACUUUCAGUCUUAUAAAAUUGAGAUUG
rnacentral:lncRNA from 1 species